GUAGACGGUGCUGUAGGUUCUGUUGCAAAUGCACACCAUCUUGUGAAGAAACUGGACAGCAUAUAGAUACAACAAAUUGUAAAGAGUUCUGGAGAGGAAGUUUUGUCUGUACUUGUUCUCCGGUUGGUUUUUUUGUUGACCCGAAUUGACCUGGGACUGUUCGCUGUGAGGCUGGAGUCAUUGGAUCCAGGACCUGUGGACCUGCUGGAUGCCUUGACAUCUCUUCUUGGUGGACCUGGCCUUCAUUGCAUUACAGCUGAAUUAAGCUAAGAUCUUGUGCACCAACGAAAGAAAGAAACAAAAAUUCAUACUACCCGGGUAGAUGAAACACAAUUGUUUUUUUUCAGAGCUCUGAACUUUUUAUUCUGAAAGGACAAAUUGUUGGACAAAGGACUGAUUUAUGUAGGGGUAAGCUGGUAAUAGUUGGGGAAGAGUAUUGAUUCUGUUCAAUAAAUUUUGUACACUUUUCUCAUUUCAACCUACAGUCCAAAUUUAUUACACCUUCUUUCCUCCUUUAGAACCUAGAUUCCUGGGUACACGUAUCAUUCAUAUCUUACUAGUUCGUUUGGUACAGGUUACAUAUAUAUACACCAAGAGGACUAAUAAUAAACCCUCUCAUUAGUAAAAUCAAAUACAAAGAAAGAAAUACCUUUGAGUCUCCACCUCCACCCAGCACGUUGACCAUCACCUCCAUAACAGUUUCAUGCAUGCCAAGAGCUCUCAUCAGGUUAGGGUGCUGGUAGAAUACUUUAUUGUUCAUGAUAUUGCUGUAAAAAAAAGAAAACGUACAAUACAACUGCAAAUGAUUCCAAAUGAUUAUAAGUAGUUACAGAUAGCAAAUCAUUAAUGUGACACUGAAAAAGAUCUCACUAACCCAAUGCUUUGAAUCAUAAGUCGUUCCUCCUCUGGACCCAUUUGUACAAUAAGCAGAGAGCGGAUCUGUCCCAAACACUCCAACAGGUCCAUAGUGUCUUGGACGGACACAGCAUUAAUUGAAUAGGCUUUGGGCAGAGCUCUGAUUAACUCCCCAAGCCCGUCAUACUGCCUAUGGAGCAGGCUGAACAUAAGACGCACCAGCUCAGGAUUCUGUAUAUAGGACUCCUGUGCCCAGUGGAUCAUAGUGUGGGAGAUGAGCUCCUGAAGCGUGCCUUGGUUAAACAAUAGUAGAAGGAAUUAAAAAGAUACAAGCAUUAUAUUAAACGAGGUGUUGUGUGUGCAUAUCGUGUAUCUUACUUAAUUUUGUCUCUUCCUCAACUUCAGGCACUUCUUCUUCUUGUUUCUUGCGCAAACUCUUCAUCUUUUCAACGAGACUAAGCAGUCUACCCCUCAGAGAAGUAUCCACCUCCUCCUCUUGAGCCUCCUCCUCAAUAUGGAUAUCUAAGAACAAUAUACUCAUUAGAAAAGAAACAAAUGUGAGUGGAUUGGAUAAAAAACAGGAAUUAGAUUAUUUACCACAGUGAAGCAGGAGGUCCUUAUGGAAGUCUGCAAGACUCUCCUUCACAUCUUCAGGCACUGGGCAGUCUUCAUCUUCAUGCUUGAAGUUGGUCAGCAAAAGUACCUGAAGGACACAAAACAUAUGAUAAUGAAUUGUAAAAUGUAUCACUUGUGAGUACCAUUGCAGUGUCAAUACAAUAAAAAUCCAUUUGAAAUAAUAA